AUGACAAACCACCAAACCCUUGGGGCACUGCUUGUACGAGCUCCCCAGCUGCCGGUGCCUGGAGGUGCCGCAGGAGGCGGCGGGGCCGGUCGGAGCCCGCUGCGAGGGCCUGGGCUGUGCCGGCAAGAGGCAGGGCAGUCGGGUAAUUAUUUCCUCCCAGCAACCCCUCGCUGCCUGUAUUCUAUUCUAUUUAUCCCGUCACUGGAACGCACACCUCCACGGAGCUGCUUGGGGCAGCAGCAUGAGCACGAAGGGCACGACUGUCCCCAUUCCCAGCCCUGUCCCUGUUCCUUUUCCCAGCCCCUUUCCCACUCCAUCCCACGCCGAGUGCCAGCCCCGUGCAGGGCUGAGAGCAGUGCCUGGGAUGGCAGGAUGGGCUUUGCCUCCUCCUGUCCCACUCCCCGGCACAUCCAGGGCAGGGGCUGCACCAUGCCCGGGGAAGGAAGCGCUGCGGGUGUGCAAAUAAAACACAAGGAAUGGACUGGAAGGGUUUCUGUAGCAAUUACCUUCGUGGCAACAACAGCCAGGCCAGAGAGAAGCAGCGUGGCCAGGCUCUGCCUGCACUUCCUUCUGUGCUGCAGCUUUCCUCCGCCCCAGAGAUGUGUCGGGACACGUUUGGCACAAGCGGAGAAGGUUGCUUCCUUGAGGCGCUGGGCAAAACGUCACCAAUGGCGAGAACCGAGCACAGGGAAAAUCUGAAGAAGAGCGGCCUGCGGGUGACCAGCAGCAGCAUGGGAAGAGGUGCAACGAGACCAGGGAGGCACAUCACCAGCUAAACCCUCACUUCAAGCAGAUGGGAAAGACUGACUUGAGUGUUUGGAUGGGAUUCAAUGAAAAUGUUCUCUAGCCUUCCCUUUCUGCAUGGGGAAUCAAUCUGCAAAGAAAAACAUUUCUCUCUGCUGUUUGCUGGCAGGACUGGCAUUAUACCCGUGAUAUCUAGCACUGCUGCGGCCAGCUUCCUGUGUGUUUGGUGAGAACUACCCUGAAAAGUUUCUCCGACGGGCUGUAGGCACAUCAGCCGGCUUCUCGAAGCUCACAGACGUGGAUGCCAUUUAACUGCUGUUCCCCAGGUAGCUGCUGGGCACGCACACAGGGGAGCAGACCGGCAUUUUCGGGUGGCGGAUCCCAGGUGGCAGGGCCCCGUACAGGAUGGCUCCACGAGCAACGCUCGCCUCCCAAGCCCUUGGUUGUCCUCUCCAUGUGCUGAAGGGCAGCUGGCGGAGCUUCGCUGCACGCCCAGCCCCAGCCCCGCGCCGCUCCAGCCAGGCUGGCCAGGGGCUCUGCUGGUUUAGGCUCUCCUGCAGCUGAUCCUGGAGGGAUGACUCAGCCCUAAGUAUAGUUAUCUGCACCCGAAAUAGAGCCGAGCCAUGGCGCAGAUCCCCAGCUGGUGCUGUGCGUGUCAGCCCUGCGACUGCUCGGGGAGCAGCGAGCUGGAGGUGCAGAGCAGGGCCGGGCACCGGCGGGCACAGGUGGCCACGCGCCGUGGGGCUGGGUCCGCCAAAACCACCGGUGGGCUGGGGUCUGGAAGCCAAACUGCACAAUGCACGGCUUCCCUGCCAGGGUGCCACGGCUACUUUAUGCUUUUACAGAAAUAAAAGGUCUCGGUUGUGGCUCUUCUUAAUCA
rnacentral:lncRNA from 1 species